rnacentral:rRNA from 1 species
AUUGAACGCUGGCGGCAUGCCUUACACAUGCAAGUCGAACGGCAGCACGGACUUCGGUCUGGUGGCGAGUGGCGAACGGGUGAGUAAUAUAUCGGAACAUACCUUGUAGUGGGGGAUAACUAUCCGAAAGGAUAGCUAAUACCGCAUACGCCCUAAGGAGGAAAGCGGGGGAUCGUAAGACCUCGUGCUAUAAGAGUGGCCGAUAUCUGAUUAGCUAGUUGGUGAGGUAAAGGCUCACCAAGGCGACGAUCAGUAGCUGGUCUGAGAGGACGACCAGCCACACUGGAACUGAGACACGGUCCAGACUCCUACGGGAGGCAGCAGUGGGGAAUUUUGGACAAUGGGGGCAACCCUGAUCCAGCAAUGCCGCGUGAGUGAAGAAGGCCUUCGGGUUGUAAAGCUCUUUUGUCAGGGAAGAAACGGUUGUGGCUAAUAUCCAUGGCUAAUGACGGUACCUGAAGAAUAAGCACCGGCUAACUACGUGCCAGCCGCCGCCGUAACAC